GUCUACGGCCAUACCACCCUGAUCUCGGAAGCUAAGCAGGGUCGGGCCUGGUUAGUACUUGGAUGGGAGAAAGCCCUGGUGAUCUGCUUCUGAAGAAU
rnacentral:rRNA from 1 species